AGUGAACGCUGGCGGUAGGCCUAACACAUGCAAGUCGAACGGCAGCACAGUAAGAGCUUGCUCUUACGGGUGGCGAGUGGCGGACGGGUGAGGAAUACAUCGGAAUCUACUUUUUCGUGGGGGAUAACGUAGGGAAACUUACGCUAAUACCGCAUACGACCUACGGGUGAAAGCAGGGGAUCUUCGGACCUUGCGCGAUUGAAAGAGCCGAUGUCGGAUUAGCUAGUUGGCGGGGUAAAGGCCCACCAAGGCGACGAUCCGUAGCUGGUCUGGGAGGAUGAUCAGCCACACUGGAACUGAGACACGGUCCAGACUCCUACGGGAGGCAGCAGUGGGGAAUAUUGGACAAUGGGCGCAAGCCUGAUCCAGCCAUACCGCGUGGGUGAAGAAGGCCUUCGGGUUGUAAAGCCCUUUUGUUGGGAAAGAAAAGCAGCAGGUUAAUACCCCGCUGUUCUGACGGUACCCAAAGAAUAAGCACCGGCUAACUUCGUG
rnacentral:rRNA from 1 species